CUGGUGUUGUCUUUAUUAGCCACUCUCUCUUUCCUUUCUUCCAAGUCAUACCUCACAGACCACCCCUCCAAGAAGUUUCCCCGCCCUCUCUCACCACUCCCCUUAUCACAGCACCAACACAUGGCUCUUUGUUAGUAUAGUCAGUAGUGUUUGGUGCGCAGCAGACUCUGGGACCCAAUAGCUUCAUUUCAAAGUCUAGAAAGAGUCACUCUUCUCUAAUUGUGAAAAGUCCUUUAGUCUCUUUCUGCCUCACUUCCUGCAUCUGUCAAAUGAGGAUGGUGGUCACGGGGGUAACAAUGCCUGGCUCAGAGGAGUGCUGUGAGGACUCCGGAAUUCACCCAGGUCUCAUCACCUCCCUGGCUCUGCCCUUCUCCCAUCUCAGCGGCAGUGUUUGCUGAGUCUGCAGCUGACCGGUCUCUGUAGGCAGAGACUACUGUGUACCCCUCUGCCUGGACUUGCCUGGUCCAGCCUCUGAGCCAGGCUCUUCUGCUCCUGUGACCCAACUCUGACAAAUUCCAGAGAAUGAACAUUUCAUAUCUGUCUACCCGAAGAGCGAGAAAACAGGGGAAGUAGAAGGACAAGGAACAUUCAGUGUGAGAAGGAGCAAAGUUUGGAAGAGUAGAGGAGAGAUUCUUCCCUUCCUCUUCUGUGAUCUUCCUCACUUCAGAGAACUCUCUAGUUUUCAUAUGAGAAGACGAUGGGAGGAUCCAGAUUUCUCUAUAGAGGGGCACUUGUGUGUGCGUCUUGUGGUCCUAAAGCUGCAUAUACACAGAACUUCUCAUGCAAUUGAAGAAAAUGUCAACUGAAUAAAGAACGGGCGAUGAUGAAGAUUUGGGAGGCAUGGAUGUCCCCCACAGUCUCCAACUUUGUUAAACUUCUUUUCACAUUGCAAUGAUUGGGAAGGCAAUGUUGGGUGUGAAGAACACUGGCAGUGCGUUGGAAUAAUAGUCAUAAGGUUAGUCAGAGAGCUCCAGAGCUGCCACUAUCUUAAGGAAUGUUAAGGGAAAGAGUCAUUAAGCCAACCCUCAAUCUUGGUGUUUGCUUGUUCAUGUAAGUUGAGGGAGCAGGGAUUGGAUGGAAG
rnacentral:lncRNA from 1 species